ensembl:snoRNA
GUGCACAUUUCAUUGACCUGCUUUCUUUAUAUGUGAGCAGUGUUAUUUCUUAUGUGCUAUCCAAAUAGCUGAAAGUUAAUUAGCAGUAUAACUAUAAAUAGUAAUGCUGGCAGUCUCCUUCAGACAAGA